AAGUCGUAACAAGGUUUCCGUAGGUGAACCUGCGGAAGGAUCAUUCUUGAAAUUACUAGUAGCUCAUGCUGCUAAUAACACUCUUGUGAACAAACAAACUGCGGCGUGUCCGUGGUUUACCCACAUUGACUAUUGAUUUUGCUUAUUCGUUUGUUUAUAACAUAAACACAACUUUCAGCAACGGAUCUCUAGGCUCUC
rnacentral:misc_RNA from 1 species